rnacentral:rRNA from 1 species
GACGGAGGAUGCAAGCGUUAUCCGGAAUGAUUGGGCGUAAAGCGUCCGCAGGUGGCAGUUCAAGUCUGCUGUCAAAGACCGGGGCUUAACUUCGGAAAGGCAGUGGAAACUGAACAGCUAGAGUAUGGUAGGGGCAGAGGGAAUUCCUGGUGUAGCGGUGAAAUGCGUAGAGAGUCAGGAAGAACAUCGGUGGCGAAGCGCUCUCGCUGGACCAUAACUGACACUCAGGGACGAAAGCUAGGGGAGCGAAUGGG